rnacentral:rRNA from 1 species
AAAUUGAAGAGUUUGAUCAUGGCUCAGAUUGAACGCUGGCGGCAGGCCUAACACAUGCAAGUCGAACGGUAGCACAGAGAGCUUGCUCUCGGGUGACGAGUGGCGGACGGGUGAGUAAUGUCUGGGAAACUGCCUGAUGGAGGGG